CAAAGGAGCCAUUCAUCCAGAAGCAGGAAAAAAGGGCCAACGUUUAGAAUUUGAAAAGCAGUGUUUGAAUGCACUUGUUACCUGGUAAACCAGUCAUUUACUGCUAUCUUACAAAUGACCACAGCACAUGGUAGACUUAAAGAACAAUUAUUUGCACAUUUCUCAAUUUUGUGGGUCAGAAACUGGCAGCACUCAGCUGAGAGACUCUUCUGUUUUACGGGGAUUCACAGCGUUCACUCAGAGACAGAUAGCUGGUGGGCAGGCCGGUGUCAGGGACCAAGGAUGGCAUCACUCGUGUGUCUGGCCCUUGACAGGGAUGCUGGAGGUCUGGGCUCACCUGGGAAUGGAGAUGGCAACACCUACAUGUGACCUUUCCAGCAUGGCAGUCUCAGAGUGGAUAUGGCAACAGCUGCACAUGAACUCUCCGGCAUGGCAGUCUCAGAGUGGAUAUGGCAACAGCUGCACAUGACCUCUCCGGCAUGGCAGUCUCAGAGUGGAUAUGGCAACACCUGCACACGACCUCUCCGGCAUGGCAGUCUCAGAGUGGAUAUGGCAACACCUACACACGACCUCUCCAGCAUGGCAGUCUCAGAGUGGAUAUGGCAACAGCUACACAUGACCUCACCGGCAUGGCAGUCUCAGAGUGGAUAUGGCAACAGCUACACAUGACCUCACCAGCAUGGCAGUCUCAGGUUACUGGUACUUCUUAGGUCUCAGCUGAGGACUCCAGUGCAGGUGUUGCAAGACAGCAGACGUAGCACUGCUUAUGUGUAUCCUGAAGUCCCAUGUGUAUCCUGAAGUCCCAGAAAGCUGCUUCAAGUAGAUUCCAGUGGAGAAGGGAGUCACCAAGGCUGGACAGUCAUUUAUCCAUGGCAGGACUAGCAAAAAAAUCUGCACCAUCUCUCAUCGCACACACGUGGGCGCAGUCAACAGCAGUGGAAGAGCUGGCUCAUGUGUGGCUCAGGCUGACUCCACAAUCAGAGUGAUUAUGUGGAAAUCAAUCAGAAUUUUCUUCUUAGAAGAUGUUUGUUCUGACAUAAUGACUGACUUUCCAGCUAAUUUUUAUUCAUAGGCUUCUCCUUGCACAAUGAUCUCUAUUUCUCUCAAUGUUAUUCUGUGUCUUUCUUGCUUGCCUGCACAUUCUGAAAAAAAAAGGAAAGCAAUUCCCUACAUUUUAUUUUGAUACUUAAUGUUGUUUGCUAACAUAUUCAGAACACAAUGCAACUUUAUAUAUUAGAGCACUUAUAAUAUAUAUUAGGAAAACAUCAAUUAGGUACCACCAGUUAUUUUAGACAGGUAUCUCUUAGGUAAAAUGUGGUGAAAAUAGAGGGGCAAUGAUAGAAUUCAUAUGUGAAAGAGUCAAUUGGCCAUCAUUAUGCCAAAAUUAUUUUGUGGUUCAGGGGACAUUUUAAACUUUAAUUUUUAAGAAUUAAACUUUAAUUAAAUUUAUUGUAGUUUAAAUGCAAUCACAAGGAAAGACUCUGAACUGGAAACACCAAGCCAAGCUCUUUCCUAGUUCUGGUCCCCUAUAAACCCUGAAAGUUAAUGCAAUUAUUGUAAUUUUUAAACCACCGAGUUCUCAGGGUGAUUAGUUAUGCAGCAAUAGAUAGCCUGAAAAGGACCAUUCUUUCUGGCACUGAAAAUUAAGAAGAGUGAUUAACAACAUAAGAAUGUAGUUUGUGCUGUCUGCCACAGAUUUAUGUUGUAGCUUCAGUGAUUGCUUCAAAGCACCCUUACUAAUUGCCAGCCUAUUGCUGAUACCUAGCUAAAUUAGCAUGUGUUAGUUUUGAUACCACUAUAGGCAUUUAAAGGAUAGCUGAUACAUUCUAUAUAAAAUAUAAUUAUUUUCCUAUCUUUAGUUUAUCCUAAAGUAGCAGCUAUUAUAUUCGCUUCUUGAUUAGCUUUAUACAUAACCAGAGAAAGUAAAAUAUCACAGAGUAUAUUUGAAGACAUAAAAGUCUUUGGACAAAGCUCAAGUAAUGAAUCAGGAUGCUAUUACAUCCUCCACAUGACAGUAAAUAUAUUUUAUAUUCCUAAAUUUUAAGCUUUUAACAAAAGCAAAUUUUAUACUGGACUAUUUCAAUUUCUAGGGAAAGGAAAUUAUCAUUUACUGUCUUUGAGGCUAUAAUCUAUUUAGCCAUUAUUUUUAUAUUGAUCAAUUUAUAAUAAAGGUAAGAGAAAAUACUACCACAUAUAUGUUGUUUAUAUAAUUUUAACUUUCAUAAUUAAAAUACUGGGUAUACUGCAAGAUGUCAAUAUUUAUAAUAGCUUAUAUUUGGAAACAAUUAUACUUUAUAUACUCCUA
rnacentral:lncRNA from 1 species